rnacentral:rRNA from 1 species
CUUGCCCGCUGGCGGCAGGCCUAACACAUGCAAGUCGAGCGAGCGGCGGACGGGUGAGUAAUGUCUGGGAAACUGCCUGAUGGAGGGGGAUAACUACUGGAAACGGUAGCUAAUACCGCAUACCAUCAGAUGUGCCCAGAUGGGAUUAUCUGGUAGGUGGGGGACCGUCUCACCUAGGCGACGGUCCCUAGCUGGUUGGAGAGGAUGACCAGCCACACUGGAACUGAGACACGGUCCAGACUCCUAGGGGAGGCAGCAGUGGGGAAUAUUGCACAAUGGGCGCCAGCCUGCUGCAGCCAUGCCGCUUGUGUGAAGAAGGCCUUCGGGUUGUAAAGCACUUUCAGCGGGGAGGCGUUACCCGCAGAAGAAGCACCGGCUAACUCCGUGCCAGCCGCCGCGGUAAUAC